GGGCGCUGGAGAACUGAGGGGGGCUGCUCCUAGUACGAGAGGACCGGAGUGGACGCAUCACUGGUGUUCGGGUUGUCAUGCCAAUGGCACUGCCCGGUAGCUAAAUGCGGAAGAGAUAAGUGCUGAAAGCAUCUAAGCACGAAACUUGCCCCGAGAUGAGUUCUCCCUGAGACUUAGAGUCUCCUGAAGGAACGUUGAAGACGACGACGUUGAUAGGCCGGGUGUGUAAGCGCAGCGAUGCGUUGAGCUAACCGGUACUAAUGAACCGUGAGGCUUAACCUUACAACGCCGAAG
rnacentral:rRNA from 2 species